rnacentral:rRNA from 1 species
AUGAACGCUGGCGGCGUGCCUAAUCCAUGCAAGUCGAGCGAACAGACGAGGAGCUUGCUCCUCUGACGUUAGCGGCGGACGGGUGAGUAACACGUGGAUAACCUACCUAUAAGACUGGGAUAACUUCGGGAAACCGGAGCUAAUACCGGAUAAUAUAUUGAACCGCAUGGUUCAAUAGUGAAAGACGGUUUUGCUGUCACUUAUAGAUGGAUCCGCGCCGCAUUAGCUAGUUGGUAAGGUAACGGCUUACCAAGGCGACGAUGCGUAGCCGACCUGAGAGGGUGAUCGGCCACACUGGAACUGAGACACGGUCCAGACUCCUACGGGAGGCAGCAGUAGGGAAUCUUCCGCAAUGGGCGAAAGCCUGACGGAGCAACGCCGCGUGAGUGAUGAAGGUCUUCGGAUCGUAAAACUCUGUUAUUAGGGAAGAACAAAUGUGUAAGUAACUAUGCACGUCCUGACGGUACCUAAUCAGAAAGCCACGGCUAACUACGUG